ACAGCAAUGCUGAUGGGUUCAAAUCAGCCUGCCACGCUGACGACCCGGGUUCAAAUCCCGGCGGCCGCA
rnacentral:tRNA from 1 species